rnacentral:rRNA from 1 species
UACGUAGGGGGCAAGCGUUGUCCGGAUUUAUUGGGCGUAAAGAGCGUGUAGGCGGCUAGGUAGGUCCGUUGUGAAAACUCGAGGCUCAACCUCGAGACGUCGAUGGAAACCAUCUAGCUAGAGUCCGGAAGAGGAGAGUGGAAUUCCUGGUGUAGCGGUGAAAUGCGCAGAUAUCAGGAAGAACACCCGUGGCGAAGGCGGCUCUUUGGUACGUGACUGACGCUGAGACGCGAAAGCGUGGGGAGCAAACAGG